UACGGAGGGAGCUAGCGUUGUUCGGAAUUACUGGGCGUAAAGCGCACGUAGGCGGCUUUGUAAGUUAGAGGUGAAAGCCCGGGGCUCAACCCCGGAAUUGCCUUUAAGACUGCAUCGCUUGAAUCCAGGAGAGGUGAGUGGAAUUCCGAGUGUAGAGGUGAAAUUCGUAGAUAUUCGGAAGAACACCAGUGGCGAAGGCGGCUCACUGGACUGGUAUUGACGCUGAGGUGGCGAAAGC
rnacentral:rRNA from 1 species